GGGGAUGUAGCUCAGUGGUAGAGCGUUUGCUUUGCAUGUAAAAGGCCCCGGGUUCAAUCCCCGGCAUCUCCA
rnacentral:tRNA from 1 species